rnacentral:rRNA from 1 species
UACGUAGGGGGCAAGCGUUGUCCGGAAUUAUUGGGCGUAAAGAGCGUGUAGGCGGCCAGAUAAGUCCGCUGUGAAAUCUCGAGGCUCAACUUCGAGCUGUCGGUGGAAACUAUCUGGCUAGAGUCCGGAAGAGGAGAAUGGAAUUCCUGGUGUAGCGGUGAAAUGCGCAGAUAUCAGGAGGAACACCGGUGGCGAAGGCGGAUCUCUGGGCCUCACCUGACGCUGAGGCGCGAAAGCUAGGGGAGCAAACAGG